rnacentral:rRNA from 1 species
UGCAGUCGAGCGGACAGAAGGGAGCUUGCUCCCGGAUGUUAGCGGCGGACGGGUGAGUAACACGUGGGUAACCUGCCUGUAAGACUGGGAUAACUCCGGGAAACCGGAGCUAAUACCGGAUAGUUCCUUGAACCGCAUGGUUCAAGGAUGAAAGACGGUUUCGGCUGUCACUUACAGAUGGACCCGCGGCGCAUUAGCUAGUUGGUGAGGUAACGGCUCACCAAGGCGACGAUGCGUAGCCGACCUGAGAGGGUGAUCGGCCACACUGGGACUGAGACACGGCCCAGACUCCUACGGGAGGCAGCAGUAGGGAAUCUUCCGCAAUGGACGAAAGUCUGACGGAGCAACGCCGCGUGAGUGAUGAAGGUUUUCGGAUCGUAAAGCUCUGUUGUUAGGGAAGAACAAGUGCAAGAGUAACUGCUUGCACCUUGACGGUACCUAACCAGAAAGCCACGGCUAACUACGUGCCAGCAGCCGCGGUAAUACGUAGGUGGCAAGCGUUGUCCGGAAUUAUUGGGCGUAAAGGGCUCGCAGGCGGUUUCUUAAGUCUGAUGUGAAAGCCCCCGGCUCAACCGGGGAGGGUCAUUGGAAACUGGGAAACUUGAGUGCAGAAGAGGAGAGUGGAAUUCCACGUGUAGCGGUGAAAUGCGUAGAGAUGUGGAGGAACACCAGUGGCGAAGGCGACUCUCUGGUCUGUAACUGACGCUGAGGAGCGAA